rnacentral:rRNA from 1 species
AGAGUUUGAUCAUGGCUCAGGACGAACGCUGGCGGCGUGCUUAACACAUGCAAGUCGAGCGGAAAGGCCCUUCGGGGUACUCGAGCGGCGAACGGGUGAGUAACACGUGAGUAACCUGCCCCAGACUUUGGGAUAACCCUCGGAAACGGGGGCUAAUACCGAAUAUGACUUCUGCCCGCAUGGGUGGUGGUGGAAAGUUUUUCGGUUUGGGAUGGACUCGCGGCCUAUCAGCUUGUUGGUGGGGUAAUGGCCUACCAAGGCGACGACGGGUAGCCGGCCUGAGAGGGCGACCGGCCGCACUGGGACUGAGACACGGCCCAGACUCCUACGGGAGGCAGCAGUGGGGAAUAUUGCACAAUGGGCGGAAGCCUGAUGCAGCGACGCCGCGUGAGGGAUGACGGCCUUCGGGUUGUAAACCUCUUUCAGCAGGGACGAAGCGCAAGUGACGGUACCUGCAGAAGAAGCGCCGGCCAACUACGUGCCAGCAGCCGCGGUAAGACGUAGGGCGCGAGCGUUGUCCGGAUUUAUUGGGCGUAAAGAGCUCGUAGGCGGCUUGUCGCGUCGACUGUGAAAACUCGGGGCUCAACUCCGAGCUUGCAGUCGAUACGGGCAGGCUAGAGUUCGGUAGGGGAGACUGGAAUUCCUGGUGUAGCGGUGAAAUGCGCAGAUACCAGGAGGAACACCGGUGGCGAAGGCGGGUCUCUGGGCCGAUACUGACGCUGAGGAGCGAAAGCGUGGGGAGCGAACAGGAUUAGAUACCCUGGUAGUCC